GACGAACCGUGCGAACGUUGUUCGGAAUCACUGGGCUUAAAGGGCGCGUAGGCGGUCAGCACAAGUCAGUUGUGAAAUCUCCGGGCUUAACUCGGAAAGGUCAACUGAUACUGUGCGACUAGAGUGCAGAAGGGGCAACUGGAAUUCUCGGUGUAGCGGUGAAAUGCGUAGAUAUCGAGAGGAACACCUGCGGCGAAGGCGGGUUGCUG
rnacentral:rRNA from 1 species